AGAGCAGAUUGACAAAAGAACCUAAAAGAAAGAAUUAUCUAGUUAGAAUUUAAUGCAAAUCUAACAUCAGCAUAAUAUAAUUAUGAAUUAUAAACAACUGCAUCUCAUGAGAAGACAUAUCAAACAUAAACUUGGUUGUGGAGCAAAACAAAUAGUCAUGGCUUACCAUGUGAAAAAAAAAAAAAAUGAAUCUUGAAAGGAAAGUAAUACCUUGGAAAUAGUAAGGGCAGGG
rnacentral:misc_RNA from 1 species